GACGUAAGUCUGCUUCGUGAUCCGGAUGUCGCAUAGGCCUGUACCCACAUGGCGAGCAGAGAGAUUGUUCUUCAAGAUAAAAUUGCUGGUAUCCUCCGUGGAGGAGGUAUACCUCGGGAUAAUGCAAAGCUGGAGCCAGAGGACAAGCUCCGGAAUAAAGGUGGUCUAUUACUCCGGACCGGGGAUCUGAGGGGUGAUCGUAGAGGGCUGCGCGAUUCAACGGACAGACGUCUGGGAGCAACUCCCAGAGGCUCUGCAAACCUGAACGGAUCUUGACACUUGACAUCAUCUUUAUCGGGGUAGCUGGCACCAUAUCCACUAUCCUGGCUAUUCGGAUCGCAGUCUUCCAGAGCGGAAAAUGGUUGUAAAAAAGAAAAAAGCCAGCAACCACGUCAAGCGACUAAGAUCUGGAGAUUCUAACUGGAUUUUAUGAAAAAACACCAAAUUGAAUAAUUCUUCAUAUCUUCAAAUUUUUUCGUACCUUUUGAGGACUCGUGUUGAAGCUGAUUGGGCUGGAGACAACACCGUUCUCCUUAUCCGUAGAAGAAGGCAUAAGCACAUUUUCAGGACUUGAAAGGCGUCGUGACGCCAUGCCAACCAGACGGCGGGACAGUGGUCGUUGUCUCACGGUCGAUUCAGACACACUCCCUCUUCCCCAAAGGUCCCCGGGGAACUGAACAGAACCUACAUGAAACCCCACGAAACUUUUUUUGGAGUCCGCGUGGAAUAAAAAUUGGAGGGGGAAAAACGACGACGACACUCCUAGAGAAGGAUAGACACCAGUGGUAAUAGCGCGGUAAAACUAAACGUUAAAUUUCGUUGAUUAUUAUUUCAAUUUCAACUAAUGCGGUCUUUUUUUUUCUUUCAAAUUCUUUUAGUUCCUACCAAACGAUUCAAAUCAUUGAAGUUUGGCUACAUUUUCUCAUCAUAGAAGUGUAGCGAAAGUUUGCAAGUGAUUUAAGCUAUGCAAAAAAAGGACCGUACAAAUAAAAUAAAAUGAUAGAACGAUAUAUUCCUAGCUGGAUUUUGUUGAAAAAGAAAGAAUCACUGCACUUUCAAAAACGUCACAUUCAAACGCCACUUGAGGAAAAAUUUUCAAAAGGUUUCAAAUCAUUGAACAUUUAUAUUAUCAUUAACUCUUCUUUUCCUAAUAUCGUUAUAAAUGAUAAUACCUUGUGCAUUGACACACUUCACAAGACUCGGUUAAACUUUCCCAAAGCAUUAUGACAAUAUUGUUUAUCGAAUGUUUAAUAAGGAGAUCUGUAUGUAUUUUGUUUUUGUAUUAUUAAAAUCAAGAGAAAAUAUU